AAUCAACGCUGGCGGCGUGCCUCAGACAUGCAAGUCGAACGCGAAAGUUUCCUUCGGGGAACAAGUAGAGUGGCGCACGGGUGAGUAACACGUAGGUAAUCUACCUUUGGAUGGGGAAUAACAACCGGAAACGGCUGCUAAUACCGCAUAAUGCAGCGGCACCUAAUGGUGACAGUUGUUAAAGCGGGGGAGUCAAAGACCUCGCGUCUGAAGAGGAGCCUGCGGCGGAUUAGCUGGUUGGUAAGGUAAU
rnacentral:rRNA from 1 species